rnacentral:rRNA from 1 species
ACGUAGGCAGCGAGCGUUGUUCGGAGUUACUGGGCGUAAAGGGUGUGUAGGCGGUCCUUUAAGUUUGGUGUGAAAUCUCCCGGCUCAACUGGGAGGGUGCGCCGGAUACUGAGGGGCUAGAGUGCGGGAGAGGAGAGUGGAAUUCCUGGUGUAGCGGUGAAAUGCGUAGAUAUCGGGAGGAACAUCUGUGGCGAAGGCGACUGCCUGGACCAGCACUGACACUGAGGCACGAAAGCGUGGGGAGCAAACAGGA